AACUGCGCCCAGGACCGGGAGAGCAGCCCAGAUGGUAGUUACACAGAAGAGCAAAGCCAGGAGAGCGAGCACAAGGUGCUGGCCACGGACUUCGACGAUGAGUUCGACGAUGAGGAGCCGCUUCCUGCCAUCGGGACCUGCAAGGCCCUCUACACCUUUGAAGGUCAGAACGAAGGCACCAUUUCGGUAGUUGAAGGAGAAACGCUGAGCGUGAUUGAGGAGGACAAAGGCGAUGGGUGGACACGCAUCCGCAGAAACGAAGACGAGGAGGGUUACGUCCCCACUUCCUACGUCGAAG
rnacentral:lncRNA from 1 species